CGGCGAAGAUCAUAUCAUCUGGUAUCAGUUUCCGGGUUUCGUAAGGGUUACGCUAUCCAUAUAUUUACAAAAAAAAAAAACAAAAACAGAGCAUAAUCAAAACGAUCUGUUGAAAACAAAAAAAAAGAGAAAGCAGUACGUAUUCAAUUUGUGUUACCCAUCUCGGAUUUUUCUUGUCUCUUACCCCGUUGUGUUUUCCUUAAUUCUUUGGUUUCCAUCGCUCAUUGUGG
rnacentral:lncRNA from 1 species